UUUAGAGGAAGUAAAAGUCGUAACAAGGUUUCCGUAGGUGAACCUGCGGAAGGAUCAUUAUUGAAAUAAAUCUGAUGAGUUGCUGCUGGCCCUCUUGAGAGCAUGUGCACGCUUGUCAUCUUUAUAUCUCCACCUGUGCACCUUUUGUAGACCUAGAUAACUCUCUGAAUGCUAGUCACUCAGGUUCGAGGAUUGACUUCGAGUCUCUCCUUACAUUUCUAGGCCUAUGUUUCUUCAUAUACCCGAAUUCUUUGUUAUAGAAUGUAAUCAAUGGCCUCUGUGCCUAUAAACUUAUACAACUUUCAGCAACGGAUCUCUUGGCUCUCGCAUCGAUGAAGAACGCAGCGAAAUGCGAUAAGUAAUGUGAAUUGCAGAAUUCAGUGAAUCAUCGAAUCUUUGAACGCACCUUGCGCUCCUUGGUAUUCCGAGGAGCAUGCCUGUUUGAGUGUCAUUAAUAUAUCAACCUCUUCAGUUUUUGCUUGUUGAGUGUUGGAUGUGGGGGUUCUUUUUUGCUGGUCUUCCCAGGUCAGCUCCCCUGAAAUGCAUUAGCGGAACAAUUGUAGACCGUUCAUUGGUGUGAUAACUAUCUAUGCUAUUGACGUGAAACAGUUCAGCUUUCUAACCAUCCAUUGACUUGGAUAAAUAUUCAUUAAUGUGACCUCAAAUCAGGUAGGACUACCCGCUGAACUUAAGCAUAUCAAUAA
rnacentral:rRNA from 1 species